AUUCUUACCUGGUAGGGGAGAUCCCGUGAUCAUGAAGGUGUUUUUUCCAGGGUGAGGCUUAUUCAUUGCACUUCUGAUGUGCUGACCCCUGUGAUUGCCCCAAAUGUGGGAAACUCAACUGCAUAAUUUGUAGUAGUGGGGGACUGCAUUUGCUCUUUCCUCUA